CUGUCUCUGUCUCCUCUCCCCACUCUCUCCCUCCUGUCUCUCCUCUCACUCUCUCCUCUAUGUCUCCCUUUCUGUCUCUUUCUCUGUGUGUUUGCCCCCCCAAUCCUUCCAUUCCUUCCUCUCUCCCUCCUGUCUCUUUCUUCUCUCUAUCUCUCUGUCUCUGUGUCUCUCCCUCUCUGUCUCUCUGUGUGUGUGCCUCUCCCUCUUUUACAAUUGUCUCUCAUCUCUCUGUAUUGCUACCUUAUCUUUUGUUUCAUGUUAUAUCUAUUCUAGGAAUCUCUCCUGUUCUCUGCCUUUUUUCUUGUCUUUCUCCCCUCUGUGACUCUCUCGCUGCUGUGACUCUCUCGCUGCCUCUUGUUUGUCUCUGACGUCUGGCUUUGCCCCUUGCUCUCCUCUCCAUCUUCCUUUCUCCCUCGCUCGCUCCUCCAUCACUCCUCCAUCUCACUCGAUUUCCCCUGUGCUAUUUUUUGUUUCCUCUCAGCCUCCGCCCCAUCUCCCUCCCUCCCUCCCUCCAUCUUCCUCCUUCCUCUGUUCCCCACCCCAUCAUCCCCAUCUAGCUCCCUCCCUCCAUUGCUCCCUCCCCCGCCUCUCCUCUCCACUUCUGUCAUUUCCCUCAAACUCUUGUUUCUCCUCUUUUUCUGGCAAUGCACUUCUCUCCCCCACCACGUUUAUCUCCUUCUAAAUCCCCAGCCCACAUCUGUCUCUCCCCCACGCCCCCAUCUUUUCCACUCUUUGCCUCAUCCUUUCAUUUCUCCCCAUAUACUGACCUCCAUCCCUCUCCCUCUGCUCCUCCUUCCAUGUCUCUGCCCCCCUCGUCCCCCAAGCCCCCUCCCCUCCACAUCUCUCUCUCUACUCCAUGUUGCCAUUUCCCACUGCUACCACCUGGACCUCCUCAUCUCAUUCCCCCCCCCCAUCCCUGCCCCCAAAUCCGGCUCAGUGGUACAAGCUUCUCCCUCUCCUCCCCAUCCAACUUUCCCCACUUUUCCUUCCUUUCUCACUGUCCCCCCCAGAACCCCGUCCCCUCCUGUCUUCUCCCUCCACCCCCCAUCCUCUCCUAAGGGAACCUUCAGCUCUAAAGAGAAUGGCCAUUGAGCGGCCAGUGAUUCUUUUUGGGAUAAAAUCGACCAAUCAGAAGGGGGGUGGCAAAAGGCCAGCUGGGAAGGAGGGAGGUCAGGAUUUCUGGAUCUCUUCUGGGCUCUGGCCGGGAGAUGAGGAUGCCGUCCAGAAGUUGGGAAAUAACCAGGAAAUGCCUUUCCGCCUUAAUGUAUUCCAGGGGCCAUGAGCUCUCUCAGCCCCUUUCACCUCAACCCGGAGAGGGAGUAAGAGCGGGAAGUUGGAGGGAGAGAAUCUUGAUUUCCUCCAGCUAAGUACUUGGAGAUCCCCUUUAAGGAGCCUCAAAGGAGAAGGUUGCCUGAGGAGAAGAGGUCACAGCUGGAAUAUAUUUGAACCAUCAGUUUUCCUGGGGAGGGGAAUGGAGACUUCCACACAAGUUCCAACCCCCCCCCCUUCUUUUCAUGAAUCCCAGGCUCUGGGAUGGAAUUUCCAAGAAUAAUAUUUGGGGCCCCGGAAGGUCUGCAGUGCCCUCACCACUCACUGGCUCCUUCCCCUAGGAUGGGGGUAGGGCAGCGGGGGCCGACAGCUGGGAGAGCUGGGCUAGCUGGGGUUCCCUACCUUCCCACACAUCCCUCUCUUGAGGGUCAAAAUGGAAUGGGCCCGGAUUGAGAGCACAAAGACCUGAGUUACGGCCCCCAGCUCCCCUCUCCCCUCUCAAGGGGCAUUGCCCCCUCAAUCUUAUUUCUUCCUCUGUCAGCCGAUGGGGUUGGGCCAGACAGACUAAAUGAGUCCUCAGCCCGUGUCCAGAAGAAGAGAAGGAUCCGGGGGCCCCCUCAGAUAAGGUGACGUCCUUCCCCACAAUGGACACGAUUCUCCCAGACCCUAGAUUGCACCACAGUCUUGCUCUGCAAAUAAAGUCCUAUCUCCCCCUACUUGCUGCCUCCCUCCCUUCCUAUCUUCUGCAUCCAGCUGGCAUCCCACGCUUCCCGCAGAAAUGGGGUUCCGAAAGAAAGACACCGGCCCAAAGACUGACAGCUCCGGAAGUCUUGUCCCUCUAGCCCACUCCUGUCUCCCUAACUCUUCAUCCCAGGGCACCCAGCGCCUUCUGCUUCUGAGGUGAACGGGAAGAUGGGGGGCAGAUUAGAAACCGGAGGUCUCUCAUCCCAGCCUGGUCCCCGGCCUGGUCCCCGGCCAGCUGUGUGUGCCUGUAAAUCAGCCCUUCCCCCUUUCUGGGCCUCUCCUCUGGAAAAUAUGGAGAGGCUGGGCUCGGGCAGAUCUCCUUCCAUCUGGGAGAAUCCAGGCUUCUCUGACUGGGAGACUGGAAGGCCAUGAUCUGAUUAGUUACUAAUAUUCUAGCAUCCCAAUCCUGAGCAUCCUUCAUCCUGAGCUCCUUUCCUCCUGAGCCUCUCUUCACUUUUUGCGCUUGGGAGUUUCUCCCAUUUUGUCACUCUCUGCUCAUCUCAUUUGGGCUCCAAGCCGAUGAUAUCCUGCGGUUCUGUAAGAGGCGCUGGGAGUACUAAAGAGCCUGGCUCCUCUGCAUCCCAGCUAAUGGGCCCUGGGGAGGAAGGGGCUAUGCCCCAAGCUAGGAAGUCUUGAGACUCAGCUUCCUGGUAGUCUCUGGUCCCCUGCCAGCCCCCACCCCAGACACUUUCCUUGGAAGCUCAGGAUUGGGGUGGGUUCUACCUAUCCCCUGACUCAGUCAUUUUCCCUAGACAGACAGGGGGUGGGGCCGUCACUCUUGGCUCACAUGGGUAACCAGGGGGCCCUCGGUAACCUGGGUGCUUAGUGUGUAGGUGGAGAAGAGGGGAGAUUUCCGGAGGAGCAGGGACGAGGAAGUCCUUAGGGACAGUGAGUCAGCAGAGGCAAUGGCCUGAAAAAGAAACGGCCCCUGUCAAGGAAUUGGUCUCAGGCCUUCCGAGUCCCCAGGCCAAAGCAGAAGAGCAGAGGAAAUCCUGGGCUCACGGGUUUGGAUGGAGACCCUCGGUGGAAAACAGAGAUCCCCUUCUCUACCUAGAUCUCAUUCUAAUCUAGGGAGGCAGGGGAAGGACCAACUGACCCUCCUGAAAGUGAUUUAGUGGAAAGCCUCAGGACUUGAACCCUGCUGAAUUUAUCACCUGGUUUUGACGUGUAUUUGUUAACCUCCGGACCUCAGCUUCCUCAUCUCUAAGGGACUUUCCAGAGUCAGAUCCCCCACCACGUUUCUCUAGGCCAGGAUUAGCCCAGGAUAUCAGACCCAGAGCAGCCUUCCCUUCUGCCAGCCUCCCCUCCUCCUCCAGACCAGUAAAGAUCCUGUACUGACAACUGGCAGCACAGUCUGAUAUCUGACACUUUCGAAGUUCCACCAGCCUCCUGGCCUCUUACCCACCCCCGCUCCCGGACGGGGAGUUCUUCCUGUGCUUGCAUUCAUCAGCUCUCCUCCAACAAGAUCCUCCCACCUGGACAUGGACUCUCCUUCCUUGGAACUAGCAUGGCUCAGUCUACAACUGUCCACCCAGAACUGAAGUUCUUAACCCCAUGGGAUCCAUGAACUUGGAUAAGAAAAAAAUACUUUAUUUUCAUUGUCAUCUCACUGAAAGUGAACAUUUCCUUCAAUCAUAACUUGGUCAAAACAUAGUAAAGUCGCUUGGGGUCCUCUUCGAGAACAAAGGGCAGCAACCAACAGCCAAGACAAUGAGCACUAUCAGCAGUCUCCGAGACGUAAUGGCCGAUAGAAACUAUAGAUAUUUUCAUAUCACGUGACUGUGGCCACAGAUUAUCUCAGAAUAAUCCUCUCUUGUCAUCACUGCUUCAGAAUGACUGUAGCUAUUAAACGCACUUCUAGAUCUUCUGUGAGCAGCCUUCUGAUCCGCAGAUUGUAUUUGCAAAGGAUGGCUCUCCUCUCCGACCUUACAAAUUUUCUUUUCUGCAUUUAAAAACAUGAUCUGAGAAGAGUGUCAAACGUCUAACCUCCCUAUUUGGCCUGGAACUUAAUGAAUCAUCCUAGAGUUUAAAGGAACCACAAAGGUUGUAUAGUCCAAUGAUGUCAAACUGAAAUAGAAAGGAGGAGGCAUUAAACCUGUAAGCCUCAUAUUGACUUAGAAGUCCACAUAAUAACUAAAUAGCAUAAUCAGAUUCCAGGGCCAACACUUUUUUAAAAUUUUAAUAGUAUUUUAUUUUGCUGAAAACAUGCAAAGAUGAUAGUUUUUGACAUUUACCUUUACAAAACCUUAUGUUUCCAGUUUUUCUUCCUCUUCUCCCCUUCCCCUCCCCAAGACAACAAGAAAUCCGAAAUAGAUUAAAAUCUAAGUAAGUGGUUAAUACUUAUGAUUUGCAAUAAACAAUCCUUAUCUUCAA